rnacentral:rRNA from 1 species
CGCGUAGGCGGUCUCUUAAGUCAGAUGUGAAAGCCCGAGGCUUAACCUCGGAAGUGCAUUUGAAACUAAGGGACUUGAGUAUGGGAGAGGGAAGUGGAAUUCCUGGUGUAGCGGUGAAAUGCGUAGAUAUCAGGAGGAACACCGGUGGCGAAGGCGACUUCCCGGACCAAUACUGACGCUGAGGCGCGAAGGCGUGGGGAGCAAACAGGAUUAGAUACCCUGGUAGUCC